UGCUGUGAUGAUGUAAUUUGCGUCUUAUCCAGUGUUCAGUGACAGUUGCCUGCUGUCAGUAUGCUGGCACUGUUGGAUUGAAGACAUUUCUAUUCUGAGCA
rnacentral:snoRNA from 1 species